rnacentral:lncRNA from 1 species
ACAUGGAAACACAAAUACAUAAAACAGAUGCAGGUGGAGUGACUCUAGGUGGGGAGACAGGCAAGGCUGCAGACCCUCCCUUUAAGCCAGCACCUUUACCUCUAAGAUACACGUGCAGAGCUGUAGAGCUUUCUCCAAGAUUCACAGAUUGAAAAACCCUGCCAUGGACACACAACCCUUAGAGGCGUUCUGGAUCAUCACAGGAAGAUUCUGGUCCAGAGCAACUUUAGAGGUGGCAGAUGCCAGCCCAAUUAUAAAUCAGGCCUGGUACAGAAGAGCUUGUACAUUCAGGCUAAGUAUCAGCGUUUACGGUUCACUGGCCCAAGGGGAUUUAUCACUCAUAAGUUCAGAGAAAGAUUAAUGAGAAAAAAGAAGGAAUAUACAGAUGUUGCCACAGGAAUCUAAUCUGAAAUCGUACAAAUGGAAAUGACGCUACAGGAGGAUGUUUGGGAGCAUCUCUCUCUUUUUGUCAGGAGUUAGAAGUGACACUAAGGCACUAAUACUGUAACUUCUUGAUAAAAUAACUUUAUUUUUUAGUA